CAUGUGCAAAAUCUAGUCCAGGAAUUUUACCAAAAUCUCGAAAUAUACGAAAAUCUGUAUCCGAUGGAAUUAGACCAGAAUGGAAAACUUCUUCAGCAGCAGAUUGAGCAUUUGGAUUAUGCAAAAUUGAUAAAUGAUACCUUAACCAACCAUGGUGUGUUUGGACCAGUUUGGAAGAGAACUUCCUUUCCUCCGGAUCCAGCUGAUUCAAGAUUUAUAAAUGCUGUGGAAAGAAUUGAUAAGCACAAUCAAAGAAAAGACAUAUAAAGAUAGAAAGUGUAACAGAAAUUACCUACUUGCGUCAACCGGCAUCGAUUGUUUUGUUUUUUUUUCUAGGGAUGAGCUUGCAGAAAAAAAAUAUUCAAAGAAAAAAAGGAACAAAAAAAAACAGAAAUAAGAACAUUUAACAUUGAAAUUCGUAACAAGAUCCACGAAUUUAUUCGACCUAACUUUUGCGUCGUUUAAUUAUGUAUGCGCUUAACUUGUAGGUGCGAAACAAUAAAAUUUAUUUUUUAUUCAUUUAUACAAAUCAACUUACGUUGAUUUCCAGACAGUGUCCCAUUUAAAAUUCCACUGAAAUUGAAUUAUACUCAAUGAAUUGUUGGGAGAUGAUAAGCAAGCAUCAAAAGUAAGGUAUAAUAAAUAAGAACCCUUCUUAUAGAGGUGUUAUAUAAAAAUACACAUAUUAGCAUUGACAGAUCACGCUUAAAUGUCAAAUGAAACCAAAUUUAUAAUAAUGUCCAGCACUUGUUAUUGAUACAUCCGUUCCGAAGUGCGAAAGAGCUUCAGUACCAAUCCAUUUCAUUUAUUAAGUAGGUAUGGGGCAAAAGAAGUGCUACUCAAGGACGCGAAGCCUACACAAUCUGCAUUACAAAUUAUGUCUCUUCUGUCAAAGAGUAAAGUACCAGACUAUAUGCUUGUGCUGUCAGAGACAUCAAAGAUGCGCACUAAUUUUGCAUAUAAAUCGACGACGACAACGACGACGCGCCUACAGAAAAUUGCAUUCAAAUGCAAUAUGCAACGCAUUGCGCAAACGUAACGUUUUUGUUGUCUUAUUUUUCUGCUGCACUCGAGCUCAGUGCUUCUCUGACCACUUAAUUCCUCCUGCACUCUUCCAUAAUUGGAUUAAAUGCGGUUUUGAUCGAUAAACAAAAAUGACCUUGAAUUGUUGUUUUUGUUGCGCUGCAGGCAAAAUGUAAACUCGGUUAAGUGGAACGAUAAGGUCUCUGGCUCUCUGUGAACAAGUCAGUUUCACUUGCUUCUCCGAGGGAUUCCACGCGCACAUUCAUUCAUAUUCUUGUAAAGUAGCCAUUAUAGCUGAUAAAACAACACUCCAAAACUCACUCUUCACACACUUUGACGAGUAAUGAAUUCAAGUUGCCCAUAUAUAAACAUACUUUACCUACCCAUUCGCACGCACAAUGCAGUGGUAAUUGCAUUGUACGCAUGCAUAAUAAACCUGAUUGGGUACAACACCACUUCUUGUUGCGAUUAUCUAUUUCCUUUCUUUAUGGCGGUGGUGGCGACCCUGAACUUGAAAAAUUUGUUGUUGUUGUUGUCUCAUGUCGUCUGGCGUUUUAUAUAUUGAAAGAUGUAAUUGGUAUAAGGAAUUCGAUAAUGUUUUUGUUUUUAUGCUUUAAUAUCAACUUCCGGUCGGUAAGAAAA